GACUGUUCAGAUUUUUGGUACCUGGUGUUUUGUGCUGGUCGAUUCUUUUUCUUUGCACUUGCAAGUGGAGUUUAGCAGGGGGGAAUGUAACGGGUUUUGUGUUGCAUAUUCUCCCACUUGCUUUAGUGUGUAAUAGUUUAAUACAUGUACUUGUGGCUCUAGAGCGCCCCCUCUCCAGGGUAUAUAUUCGCUGUGCAACUCUAGUGCUUUGCCAGUGUGUAUAGACCUGCCAGAGUGUGGUGUAUGAAACACCGAACGAGCCACUGUGCAACUGACCAGCAUAUGUUAUGUCCUUCUCUGUUCAGGUACACAAAUAUUUUGUAUGUCUGUAAUUGUAUAUAUUCGCUGUGCAACUCUAGUGCUUUGCCAGUGUGUAUAGACCUGCCAGAGUGUGGUGUAUGAAACACCGAACGAGCCACUGUGCAACUGACCAGCAUAUGUUAUGUCCUUCUCUGUUCAGAUAUAAAGUGUUGGUCUGGAUACUC